rnacentral:rRNA from 1 species
CUAAACACUUAGCCCCACCUUCUCCCAUGUUAAACCCUUAUUAGCCCCCUUCAACUAAAACAUUCUAUGAUCUUAGUAAAGGUGAUUAAAAAAUUUUUUUGGCGCAAUAACUAUAGUACCGCAAGGGAACAGUGAAAUAACAAUGAAACAACUUUUAAGCACAAAAAAGUAGAGCUUUUCCCUCGUACCUUUUGCAUCAUGAUUUAACUAGUCUAAAUAAGCAAAAAGACUUAUAGUUUAUCUUCCCGAACCUAGACGAGCUAUUUUAAGACAGCUUAUUGAGCAAAUCCGUCUCUGUCGCAAAAGAGUGGAAAGAUCUUAAAAUAGCGGUGACAGACCAAACGAGUCUAGCGAUAGCUGGUUGCUCAUUAAAAGGAUUUUAGUCCUGCUUAAAGUUACUUAUAUAAAAUGAAAUUUCUUUUAAGUUAUUCAAAUAAGGUACAGCCUAUUUGAAAAAGGAGACAACCUCUACUAUUGGGUUAUUACUACUAAAUUUAUGAUAAAGUAGGCUUAAAAGCAGCCAUCUUCAAUAAAAGCGUCAAAGCUUACUCAUUUGUUUUUCUUAAUCCCUGUAUCCCCACUUAACCCCUUACCAACAAAGAGCAAUUCUAUACCUCUAUAGAAAAUUUUAUGUUAAAACUAGUAAUAAGAAGUCAGCCCUUCUCUUCAAUGCAAACUUACAUCAGCCAGGACACCCCGCUGAUUUUUAACGUCCCUAAAAACAUUGUAAUAACUAAUCAAGAAAAUAUUACCCACCAUAACGUUAACCUAACACAAGAGCAUUUUAAGAAAGAUUAAAAGAAAAAGAAGGAACUCGGCAAUA